CUGAAACCUCUAGUCGUAAAAGAUCUGACGUCUAAAACCCCUAACGAAACGCAAAAACCCUCUUGACAAAACGAAGCCCCUCCUCAUUGUCACUGGCCAACCCAAAACCCAAAGUCAUGUCAUCCGCCGCCGCCACAGCCGCCAGGUUCGUCCUCCGCUCCACAUCGGCACGAACCGCCUCGGCGGCUAGGCUUACAGCCGGAGCCGGAGCUAGGGCCAGACCCGCAAGCUCACCAUUUCGUAUCCCCAAACAAAACCCUAUCGCACAUCGCAUUUUCAGGUCUCCUGUGGAGAUGAGCUGCUGCGUGGAAACGCUGCUUCCGUAUCACACUGCCACUGCUUCUGCAUUGCUCAACUCCAUGCUCUCCGCCUCUCUCCGCAGCUACUGUUGGACUCCUGAAGGGCAAGAGAAGACUAGAUGAAGAUCAAGCAUCAAAUUCAGAUUUCCUCGGAUUUGUUUUUGUUGUGUGCUUUGAAAGUAUUGAUGGAUGAUUGUUGUUGGGGUGCCGUACCUUGAUCAUAAUUUCCAUGGAUUUCAAUGGACUUUGUAAGACUUGCUUGAGGCAUUAUUCUCAAUGAUCGGAUAUGAAAGUCAAAAGAUUAAUAGUCGUUCCACAGGCACUGAAGAAGUAGGUAUCAUAAUGAGACUAGAUUGUUCUUAUCUUUUCAAAUACUGCAUUACAGUGCUAGAUCAACUCUCCUCUUAUACGAGUUAUGGAUGAUUGUCUCUUCAAGAAA